UACGUAGGGGGCUAGCGUUGUCCGGAAUCAUUGGGCGUAAAGCGCGCGUAGGCGGCCCGGUAAGUCCGCUGUAAAAGUCCAGGGCUCAACCCUGGAAAGCCGAUGGAUACUGUGGAGCUAGAGUACGGAAGAGGCGAGUGGAAUUCCUGGUGUAGCGGUGGAAUGCGCAGAUAUCAGGAGGAACACCAAUAGCGAAGGCAGCUCGCUGGGACGUUACUGACACUGAGGCGCGAAGGCGUGGGGAGCGAACAGG
rnacentral:rRNA from 1 species